GAACAGAUGAGGAGUUGCUUCUUAUGAAUGAACAAAAAAAAAAUUUCCAGAGAUGGAAUCUACUUCUGGUGAAGAUGCUGUGAAGAUUACUGAAAUGAUAACAAAGGAUUUAGAACAUAACAUUAGCUUAGUUGAUAAAGCACCAGCAAGGUUUAAGACUGAUCCCAAUUUUGAAAGUUCUACUCUGGGUAAAAUGCUAUCAAAAAGCAUGAUACUACAGAGAAAUCAUUUGUGAGAGGAAUAAUCAACUGACAUGACAAACUUCACUGUUGUGUUAGGUUAAGAAAUUGCCAGUCACCCCAACCUUCAGCAACCACUACCCUGAUCAGCCAGCAGCCAUCAACACUGAGACAAGACCCUCUAUCAGCAAAAAGAUUGAUUCACUGAAGGCUUAGAUGAUAGUUAGCAUUUUUUAGCAGAAGUUUGCUAACUGAAGCCCCAAAGGAAAUGGGCCAAAUGGAUCCACGUGACCGGGAAGCUGCCUUCUGCCAGCAAAUCACCUGUCAGAGCCCUCUUGGGUGCUUGCAUUGCCCCUGAAUUCCCAUCCCAUUCCACUGCAGUUGCUGUUCUGUCCCUCCAUGUCAUCCACUGGAAGUUCACUGCUGGAUCAUCACAUCCAGGCCCAUUCUUGGCUCACAGUAGGUGAUGCACUGUAGUGGUGAAGUGCUGUGCAGCCCAGAUUCCUUCUCCCCCUUCAGGAUAGAAUACUGGUGGCUGACUACUCACAGCUGAGCCUCAUACCGAGGAUUGACUGCCUUCACUGAAGAGAGCUGAGGGGCCCAAGGUUUCAUCCCCUAUCCAGAGGCAUGAAGACCCAGCCCUCUUGCCUCAAGGUGGGACAACUCCGAAGGGUCAUCCAGCUCCAGUUUCCUGUGGGACUGACUAAAGCUCUGUUGUGACUAAGUCACAGUUCCCCUCCUCCCUCCUGCAACUGAAGAGGACCCUGCAGAGCCUUCCUGGGACAGACCCCUCUCCCAUAUCCUCUGCUGAAGCUCCUCUCUUCAUACCCAGAUAACAGUGUCUCAUGCAUAUUUCCUGAGUUUUUCAGAUGCUGAAAACUACCACCAAGUGGAAGAAAUCAACUAGUUGAUGAUCAUGAGCAUGCAGCCCCCAUACCUUCUGGCACCUAAGGACUGAGCACCAUCAGCCAGAGAACUGUGCAUAGCUGAUCACAUACCCUAAGAUGCCCCUCCCUCAGAUGGCCUUUAAAAAUGUUCAGCUGAUCCCCUUCAGGGAGUUUGGGGGCUUGGGGGGCACAAGCCACCCAUUAUCCUUGCUCUGCACAGCAAUAAACCUU